CGGUAAUACGGAGGGUGCAAGCGUUGUCCGGAUUUAUUGGGUUUGAGAAGUGCGUGAGCGGCCCGUUAAGUCAGUGGUAGAAGCCUCCAGCUCAACUGGAGAACUGCCAUUGAUACUGACGGGCUUGAGUACAGACGAGGUUGGCGGAAUUGAUAGUGUAGCGGUGAAAUGCAUAGAUACUAUCAAGAACUCCGAUUGCGUAGGCAGCUAACUAGGCUGUAACUGACGCUGAGGCACGAAAGCGGUGGGAGCGAACGAAGUUAGAUACUCUGGUAGUCCACGCCGUAAACGAUGAUUACUCGAUGUUGGCGAUACACAGUCAGCGUCUUAGCGAAAGCGUUAAGUAAUCCACCUGGGGAGUACGCCCGCAAGGGUGAA
rnacentral:rRNA from 1 species